CCUACGGGGGGCUGCAGUGGGGAAUUUUGGACAAUGGGGGCAACCCUGAUCCAGCCAUGCCGCGUGCGGGAAGAAGGCCUUCGGGUUGUAAACCGCUUUUGUCAGGGAAGAAAUCUUCCGAGCUAAUACCUUGGGAGGAUGACGGUACCUGAAGAAUAAGCACCGGCUAACUACGUGCCAGCAGCCGCGGUAAUACGUAGGGUGCAAGCGUUGAUCGGAAUGAGUGGGCGUAAUUGGUGAACAGAGGUUUGAAAUCCCCGGGCUUAACCUGGGAACUGCACUUGUGACUGUACGGCUGGAGUACGGCAGAGGGGGAUGGAAUGCCGCGUGUAGCAGUGAAAUGCGUAGAUAUGCGGAGGAACACCUAUGGCGAAGGCAGUCCCCUGGGCCUGUACUGACGCUCAUGCACGAAAGCGUGGGGAGCAAACAGGAUUAGAUACCCUAGUAGUC
rnacentral:rRNA from 1 species